rnacentral:misc_RNA from 1 species
GAAAUGCGAUAAGUAGUGUGAAUUGCAGAAUUCAGUGAAUCAUCGAAUCUUUGAACGCACAUUGCGCCCCUUGGUAUUCCAUGGGGCAUGCCUGUUCGAGCGUCAUUUGUACCUUCAAGCUUUGCUUGGUGUUGGGUGUUUGUCUCGCCUCUGCGCGCAGACUCGCCUCAAAACAAUUGGCAGCCGGCGUAUUGAUUUCGGAGCGCAGUACAUCUCGCGCUUUGCACUCCUAACGACGACGUCCAAAAAGUACAUUUUUUACACUCUUGACCUCGGAUCAGGUAGGGAUACCCGCUGAACUUAAGC